rnacentral:rRNA from 1 species
UCGGAGGAAGUGGGGAUGACGUCAAAUCAUCAUGCCCCUUAUGACCUGGGCUACACACGUGCUACAAUGGGCGGUACAAAGGGCUGCGAACCCGCGAGGGGGAGCGAAUCCCAAAAAGACCGCUCUCAGUUCGGAUUGCAGGCUGCAACUCGCCUGCAUGAAGCCGGAAUCGCUAGUAAUCGCGGAUCAGCAUGCCGCGGUGAAUACCGGUUCCCGGGCCUU